GGAAUUUCUGAACAGCUUUGUUACUCCACAGUUUUGAGGCAACUUUUCGACGUUGAGCGAAAAAGGGAAUUGAUACACACUUCAUAGGAGCUUACACACAUAAAGGUGAAAGGUGAAUAUGGAACUACAUAGAGAGCAUGGCUAGCUGUGAAAUUCCUACAGGAUUCCAGAGUUCGAUGUACAUGGAUGACAACCUGUAGAGUUAUUUUGUAGGUUGCCAUCUGUAGGGUUAUAUUUUGGAAUCCUAUAUAGUGUACUUUUGAAAUGGUCUGUAGACAUGUGUUAUAAGCUCUGAAUAUAUAUGUUGGAUU